rnacentral:rRNA from 1 species
GACGAACGCUGGCGGCGUGCCUAACACAUGCAAGUCGAGCGAAGUGAGUACUACGGUACGAACUUAGCGGCGGACGGGUGAGUAACGCGUGGACAAUCUACCCUGUAGACUGGGAUAACACCUCGAAAGGGGUGCUAAUACCGGAUAAUGUCGAGAAGCGGCAUCGCUUUUCGAAGAAAGGAGAGGAUCCGCUAUAGGAGGAGUCCGCGUCCCAUUAGCUAGUUGGUGAGGGUGACGGCCCACCAAGGCGACAAUGGGUAGCCGGCCUGAGAGGGUGAACGGCCACACUGGAACUGAGACACGGUCCAGACUCCUACGGGAGGCAGCAGUGGGGAAUAUUGUGCAAUGGGGGAAACCCUGACACAGCAACGCCGCGUGAGCGAAGAAGGCCUUCGGGUUGUAAAGCUCAAUAGUAUGGGAAGAUAAUGACGGUACCAUACGAAAGCCCCGGCUAACUACGUGCCAGCCGCCGCGGUAACAC